GAUGAACGCUAGCGGCAGGCUUAAUACAUGCAAGUCGAGGGGUAGCAAGAUUGUAGCAAUACAAUUGUUGACGACCGGCAAACGGGUGCGGAACACGUACACAACCUUCCUACAAGUGGGGAAUAGCCCAGAGAAAUUUGGAUUAAUACCCCGUAACAUAGCGAUGUGGCAUCACAUUGCUAUUAUAGCUUCGGCGCUUGUUGAUGGGUGUGCGGCUGAUUAGAUAGUUGGCGGGGUAACGGCCCACCAAGUCUACGAUCAGUAGCUGAUGUGAGAGCAUGAUCAGCCACACGGGCACUGAGACACUGGCCCGAAUCCUACGGGAGGCAGCAGUAAGGAAUAUUGGACAAUGGACGCAAGUCUGAUCCAGCCAUGCCGCGUGAAGGAUUAAGGUCCUCUGGAUUGUAAACUUCUUUUAUAAGGGACGAAAAAAGGUCUUUCUAGAUCGUCUGACGGUACCUUAUGAAUAAGCACCGGCUAACUCCGUGCCAGCCGCCGCGGUAACAC
rnacentral:rRNA from 1 species